CGACAGUGUGAGCCGCUUGACGGUAAACAUAACUUCAUCGCUGCUGUAACUGAAGAGCGCGCAGCAGCGCCUCACGCGCCAGGAGCGAGUAUUUGGCCACAAACAAAUAAACAUAGCUCCCAAAAACAGGUAAAGUCAGACGGGGUUUGUGCAGAAUGACUGAACUCGCGGCCUGAUGUGUGUCUGAAGCCAGCUGAGCUCGACAGCUGCACACAGCUGCUUAAAGGCUGCAGGCUGUCAGAAGACAUCCUCGCGCUCAGACACGUGGCGACGACUUUUAAUUGUUCACUGUCUCGCAGGAGUUUGACUGCAGUUACAUCAGAUGAACACACGGCGGCGGCCGAGUUCCAUCAUUCACCAGAACGAGAGGCAACCUAUGGCACUUGCUCGUCUUCACUGCCGGUGACAUUAUGUGGAAAAAUCAAAGCGAACUGUGUGAUGGAUACGUGGGCCUGGUUAAAAUACCCUCUGCAGAUCCUCAUCGCCAAUUAGAUGGCUGAUAGAUGGCAUUAUCAGUCACGUUAAUGAGCACGGACUGACACGCGUGCCUGCUGUGGUCACCUGGCCUACGUGCCCCCGGUACCAUGCCGCACCACAUUUACCAGUUCCCAUCCAGCUGGGCACGUUAAACAUUGAUAGGCCAAAAAUGUGAUCCUGCUUCCAUGAGUGCCGUAGUUGAGUCAUACACUAUGUUAAGUUCGUUUACAAACAGCACGUGCAGCUUGAACCCGAUGAAGAGCUUCUUCAUCGCUGGCAAACGAUAAGUUGCAGCUUCGACUCAGUGGAUCACAGUUUGCAGUCAGAUUUGUCCCAGCGCUCGAGAAUCACAGCUUUAUUAGGUCUACUUUUACAGUCUUCCCAGCUAACAAAUCCCCGAGAAGCAGACAUUGAGCUGAAGCAUGAGAGAGCAGGGGGAGAGUGACAAUGGAUCGGAGCAGACGCUUUGCCCGCAACACUCACCCAACCAGCAGUGGUAUGAAGUGUUCUUUGUAACGCGUGGAUUUGAGGUAAGUCACAACAAUUUCUAUACAGGUCGACUCUGAAGUGGAGCAGAAUGUCCAGGAAUUAAAUUUUAUGUCCACAGGUUGUUUUUCUUUUACAGGUCCUCCAUUUUUAUCUUUUACAGGUUGUCCAUUGUGUUUUGUUUGUUUAUAUUUCCGACUUGUGACAUGUCGAAAAAAUGAAUCCCCAACUCAGAAGUGGGAAUUUCCCAGGUACACUUGAAGGCAGGUCAAAGACGUAUUUUCCAUUGGGAAACUUGUAGGCAUCAACUCUCCAGUGAAUUGCAGUUUUUAGGGCUGUAUUACAAAAAUAUCAACAUCUCAAAAUAUCAAGA
ensembl:lncRNA